rnacentral:rRNA from 1 species
UACGGAGGGAGCUAGCGUUGUUCGGAAUUACUGGGCGUAAAGCGCGCGUAGGCGGCCUUGUAAGUUAGAGGUGAAAGCCCGGAGCUCAACUCCGGAACUGCCUUUAAAACUGCAUCGCUUGAAUCCAGGAGAGGUGAGUGGAAUUCCGAGUGUAGAGGUGAAAUUCAUAGAUAUUCGGAAGAACACCAGUGGCGAAGGCGGCUCACUGGACUGGUAUUGACGCUGAGGUGCGAAAGCGUGGGGAGCAAACAGG